rnacentral:rRNA from 1 species
UCCUGGCUCAGAUUGAACGCUGGCGGAAUGCUUUACACAUGCAAGUCGAACGGCAGCACGGACUUCGGUCUGGUGGCGAGUGGCGAACGGGUGAGUAAUGUAUCGGAACGUAUCCAGUAAUGGGGGAUAACUAAUCGAAAGGUUGGCUAAUACCGCAUACGCCCUACGGGGGAAAGCAGGGGAUCUUCGGACCUUGCGUUAAUGGAGCGGCCGAUAUCUGAUUAGCUAGUUGGUGAGGUAAGAGCUCACCAAGGCGACGAUCAGUAGCUGGUCUGAGAGGACGACCAGCCACACUGGAACUGAGACACGGUCCAGACUCCUACGGGAGGCAGCAGUGGGGAAUUUUGGACAAUGGGCGCAAGCCUGAUCCAGCCAUUCCGCGUGAGUGAAGAAGGCCUUCGGGCUGUAAAGCUCUUUCGCAAGGGAAGAAACGAUGCAGACGAAUAAUCUGUGUUAAUGACGGUACCUUGAUAAGAAGCACCGGCUAACUACGUGCCAGCAGCCGCGGUAAUACGUAGGGUGCAAGCGUUAAUCGGAAUUACUGGGCGUAAAGCGUGCGCAGGCGGUUUUGUAAGUCAGAUGUGAAAUCCCCGAGCUCAACUUGGGAACUGCGUUUGAAACUAC